UUUGACCGAGCCAAGCCAGAGCGGUCGUUCGCGGUCUUGUCCGUAGGUGGCCAGCAGUGCCCGGGCUUC
rnacentral:antisense_RNA from 1 species